rnacentral:rRNA from 1 species
GAUGAACGCUGACAGAAUGCUUAACACAUGCAAGUCAACUUGAACUUCGGUUUGGGUGGCGGACGGGUGAGUAACGCGUAAAGAACUUGCCUCACAGCUAGGGACAACAUUUGGAAACGAAUGCUAAUACCUGAUAUUAUGAUUAUAUGGCAUCGUAUAAUUAUGAAAGCUAUAUGCGCUGUGAGAGAGCUUUGCGUCCCAUUAGCUAGUUGGGGAGGUAACAGCUCACCAAGGCGAUGAUGGGUAGCCGGCCUGAGAGGGUGAUCGGCCACAAGGGGACUGGGACACGGCCCUUACUCCUACGGGAGGCAGCAGUGGGGAAUAUUGGACAAUGGACCGAGAGUCUGAUCCAGCAAUUCUGUGUGCACGAUGAAGUUUUUCGGAAUGUAAAGUGCUUUCAGUUGGGAAGAAAAAAAUGACGGUACCAACAGAAGAAGUGACGGCUAACUACGUG